GAGUUUGAUCCUGGCUCAGAACGUACGCUGGCGGCACGCCUAACACAUGCAAGUCGAACGAAGUAGCAAUACUUAGUGGCAGACGGGUGAGUAACAUGUAGGUAUCUGCCCUUUGGCCUGGAAUAACACGAGGAAACUUGUGCUAAUACCGGAUAAGUCUUUACGGAGAAAGCUUUAUGCACCAUUGGAUGAGCCUGCACUUGAUUAGUUUGUUGGUGGGGUAAUGGCCUACCAAGACUGUGAUCAAUAGCUGAUUUGAGAGGAUGAUCAGCCACAUUGGGACUGAGACACGGCCCAAACUCCUACGGGAGGCAGCAGUGGGGAAUCUUGCACAAUGGAGGAAACUCUGAUGCAGCGAUGCCGCGUGAGUGAAGAAGGCCCUUGGGUUGUAAAGCUCUUUCGUCGGGGAAGAAAAUGACUGUACCCGAAUAAGAAGGUCCGGCUAACUUCGUGCCAGCAGCCGCGGUAAUACGAAGGGACCUAGCGUAGUUCGGAAUUACUGGGCUUAAAGAGUUCGUAGGUGGUUGAAAAAGUUAGUGGUGAAAUCCCAGAGCUUAACUCUGGAACUGCCAUUAAAACUUUUCAGCUAGAGUAUGAUAGAGGAAAGCAGAAUUUCUAGUGUAGAGGUGAAAUUCGUAGAUAUUAGAAAGAAUACCAAUUGCGAAGGCAGCUUUCUGGAUCAUUACUGACACUGAGGAACGAAAGCAUGGGUAGCGAAGAGGAUUAGAUACCCUCGUAGUCCAUGCCGUAAACGAUGUGUGUUAGACGUUGGAAAUUUAUUUUCAGUGUCGCAGGGAAACCGAUAAACACACCGCCUGGGGAGUACGACCGCAAGGUUAAAACUCAAAUGAAUUGACGGGGACCCGCACAAGUAGUGGAGCAUGUGGUUUAAUUCGAAGAUACGCGCAGAACCUUACCAACACUUGACAUGUUCGUCGCGACUCUAAGAGAUUAGAGUUUUCGGUUCGGCCGGACGAAACACAGGUGCUGCAUGGCUGUCGUCAGCUCGUGUCGUGAGAUGUUGGGUUAAGUCCCGCAACGAGCGCAACCCUCACUUUUAGUUGCCAUCAUUAAGUUGGGCACUCUGAAAGAACUGCCAGUGAUAAGCUGGAGGAAGGUGGGGAUGACGUCAAGUCAUCAUGGCCCUUACGUGUUGGGCUACACACGUGCUACAAUGGUAUCUACAACAGGAAGCAAGACUGCGAAGUUAAGCAAAUCCCUAAAAGAUACCUCAGUUCGGAUUGCACUCUGCAACUCGAGUGCAUGAAGCUGGAAUUACUAGUAAUCGUGGAUCAGCGUGCCACGGUGAAUGCGUUCCCGGGUCUUGUACACACCGCCCGUCACACCAUGGGAGUUGGUUCUACCUUAAGGCAAGGUUUCAAACCCUUGACCACGGUAUAGUCAGCGUCUGGGGUGAAGUCGUAACAAGGUAACC
rnacentral:rRNA from 1 species